CACACCCGUUCCCAUACCGAACACGGAAGUUAAGCUCUCUAGCGCCGAUGGUAGUUGGGACCUUGUCCCUGUGAGAGUAGGACGUUGCCAAGC
rnacentral:rRNA from 1 species